rnacentral:rRNA from 1 species
UACGUAGGGUGCGAGCGUUGUCCGGAAUUACUGGGCGUAAAGAGCUCGUAGGUGGUUUGUCGCGUUGUUCGUGAAAACUCACAGCUCAACUGUGGGCGUGCGGGCGAUACGGGCAGACUAGAGUACUGCAGGGGAGACCGGAAUUCCUGGUGUAGCGGUGGAAUGCGCAGAUAUCAGGAGGAACACCGGUGGCGAAGGCGGGUCUCUGGGCAGUAACUGACGCUGAGGAGCGAAAGCGUGGGGAGCGAACAGG